rnacentral:lncRNA from 1 species
CCCGAGAUAAGAAAAACUAGGGUUUGACCCAAUACACUCUUCUUCUUGAAAAUUCUUCUUCCUUGGUGGAUCACCUCUAGAAGCCAUACAGGUGGCUUACAUUGAUCAAAUGAAGGAAUCUACCCGGAGAUUCAAGGAGAUCGCGGAGAAGUAAGAAUUAAACUCGUACCUGUGGAAGCUCGUAUCUACAAAGGUAUGAUUACAUAACUUCUUGUUCUUCGUUUUAAUUAACAAUAUGCAUAAAGUAUGUUCCAAUCUAAACAAAUCUGGUAUAAGAUAAUAUAGGCCAAUAAAAUAUUAUUUAAACAAAAUAAACAACAAAGCCAUUACAUGAGUGGUAAUGGGAGGCUUCAGGGAUCUUGGUGGAUAAAAUUCAUCAAGUGGGAUAUCAAAACCCCAUCAAGCCAUAUUCAAAAAAAACUUAGCAUUUAUUUGUAAAAAUGAUGUUAAAAGGUGGGGGGAAAAAAUUAAGAUAUUAAUGGAUGGACAAUGGCAAGAGUCAGAAGUAGCUGGUAAGUAAACAUGGAAGGAAUCCGAUUGAUUUUUUUCAUCAUCCCUGCAAUCAUAUCAUCAUCACAACGUAAUAUAUAUAUAUAUAUAUAUAAUAUUUCUAUGCAUACAUGUAAAUUUGACAAAAAUUAUUACGAUCCAAUUACCCUUUCCAAUUUACACGUGCAUAGUUAUUUAUUCAUAUAUAUAUAUAUAUAUAGACAGGAUCAAAGAGUAGACCUCUUAAGUAGUAGAACUCUCUUAAAUAAUAGAACUUUAUCAAAACGACAUAGUUUUGAUAAGACGCAAUAGCAUUUCUGCCACCGCGUCUUAUCAAAACUACGUCGUUUUGAUAAAAUUCUAUUAUUUAAGGCAUUCUACUAUUUAAGAAUUCUACUCUUGAUCCUUUAUAUAUAUAUAUAUAUAUAUAUAUAACCAACAUAAAAAUAGACCAUAUAAAAUGGCUAUAUCUACCUUGGCACCAAAAAAUCCUAGGAAGAAUAAUUCGGAGCUAAAGGUAGACGCACAUAUAUACAUACACACAAAACAGAAGAAUGAAUAUACAUAUAUAUGUACAUAAAUUAUCAAUUUUGCCUAACGAUAGAUCCCUUCAUCCACUCAUAUAUUUGGACCAAGGAAUUGGAAUAUUAGGCUGACUGGCCGAAUACCAACCGAACCAAAUUAUACACAAGAUAUAACAUAAACGAGAAAGGAAUAACAAAUAGAUCAGUACAAGUAUGAAUCGUCACCUCUGCCUUCGACUUUCUCAAAUUUAAACGACACCAUGAGGGCAUUAUAUAGACAGAAAAAAAGGGGGGUGGGUUACCACUUCCCACAAAUCCUAGCCAUUACUGUUAUGAAGACACAUCCAAGUUAACAUUAUAUAUUGCAAUCUAAACAAAUCUAUGAUAAUAUAGGCCAAUAAAAUGUUAUUUAAACAAAAUAAAUCACAACAAAGCUAUUACAAGAGUGGGAAUGGGAUGCCUCAGAGAUCUUGGUGAAUAAAAUUCAUCAGUAGGGAUAUCAAAACCACAUCAAGAGUAGCAAAUAUCUUUCUUACAUCACAGGUCAUAUACAUAAAAAACUUGAGGCCUUUAGUUGUAAAAAUAAUGUUAAAAGGUGGAAAAUAUAAAGAAAAAAAUUAAGAUAUUAAUGGAUGGACAAUGGCAAGAGUCAAGAAGUAGCUGGUAAGUAAACAUGGAAUAUUCAUUGGGAAUCCGAUUGAUUUUUUUCAUCAUCCCUGCCAUCAUAUCAUCAUCACAUCGUAAUAUAUAUAUAUAUAUAAUAUUUCUAUGCGUACACGUAAAUUGGACAAAAUAAAUAAAAAGAAUUUAUUACGAUCCAAUUACCCUUUCCAAUUUACAUGUGCAUAGAGUUAUUUAUUCAUAUAUAUAUAUAUAACCAAAAUAAAAUAAAAAAUAAAAAAAGAUCAUAUAAAAUGGCUAUAUCUACCUUGUCACCAAAAAAUCCUAGGAAGAAUAAUUCGGAGCUAAAAAUAGACGCACAUAUAUACAUAUACACAAAACAGAAGAAUGAAUAUAAAUAUAUAUGUACAUAAAUUAUCAAUUUUGCCUAACGAUGGAUCCCUUCAUCCACUCAUAUAUUUGGAACAAGGAAUUGCAAUAUUUGGCUAACUGGUCGAAUACCAACCCAACCAAAUUAAACACAAGAUAUAACAUAAACGAGAAAAGAAUAACUAAUAGAUCAGUACAAGUAUGAAUCUUCGCCUCAGCCUACGACUUUCUCAAAUUUACACGACAACAUGAGGGCAUUAUAUAGACAGAAAAAGAAGGGGGUGGGUUACAACUUCCCACAAAUCCUAGCCAUUACUGUUAUAAAGACACAUACAAGUUAACAUUAUAUAUUCCAAUCUAAACAAAUCUAGUAUAUGAUAAUAUAGGCCAAUAAAAUGUUAUUUAAACAAAAUAAAUCACAACAAAGCUAUUACAAGAGUGGGAAUGGGAAGCCACAGAGAUCUUGGUGGAUAAAAUUCAUCAAUUGGGAUAUCAAAACCCCAUCAAGAGUAGCAAAUAUCUUUCUUACAUCACAGGUCAUAUACAUAAAAAACUUGAAAACCUUGAAGCCUUUAGUUGUAAAAAUAAUGUUAAAAGGUGGAAAAUAUAGAGAAAAAAAUUAAGAUAUUAAUGGAUGGACAAUGGCAAGAGUCAGAAGUAGCUGGUAAAGUAAACAUGGAAUAUUCAUUGGGAAUCCGAUUGAUUUUUUUCAUCAUCCCUGCCAUCAUAUCAUCAUCACAUCGUAAUAUAUAUAUAUAUAAUAUUUCUAUGUGUACACGUAAAUUGGACAAAAAUUAUUACGAUCCAAUUACCCUUUCCAAUUUACAUGUGCAAAGAGUUAUUUAUUCAUAUAUAUAUAUAUAUAUAACCAAAAUAAAAUAUAAAAUAAAAAUAGACCAUAUAAAAUGGCUAUAUCUACCUUGUCACCAAAAAAUCCUAGGAAGAAUAAUUCAGAGCUAAAGUUAGACGCACAUAUAUACCUACACACAAAACAGAAGAAUGAAUAUACAUAUAUAUGUACAUAAAUUAUCAAUUUUGCCUAACGAUAGAUCCCUUCAUCCACUCAUAUAUUUGGACCAAGGAAUUGCAAUAUUAGGCUGACUGGCAGAAUACCAACCCAACCAAAUUAUAUACAAGAUAUAACAUAAACGAUAAAGGAAUAAUAAAUAGAUCAGAACAAGUAUGAAUCAUCGCCUCUGCCUUCGACUUUCUCAGAUUUACACGACACCAUAAGGGCAUUAUAUAGACAGAAAAAGAGGAGGGUGGGUUACCACUUCCCACAAACCCUAGCCAUUAUUGUUAUGACAACACAUCCAAGUUAACAUUAUGUAUUCCAAUCUAAACAAAUCUAGUAUAUGAUAAUAUAGGCCAAUAAAAUAUUAUUUAAACAAAAUAAAUCACAACAAAGCCAUUACAGGAGUGGGAAUGGGAGGCCUAAGAGAUCUUGGUGGAUAAAAUUCAUCAAGUGGGAUAUCAAAACCCCAUCAAGAGUAGCAAAUAUCUUUCUUACAUCACAGGCCAUAUACAUAAAAAACUUAAAGCCUUUAUUUGUAAAAAUGAUGUUAAAAGGUGGGGAAAAGAAGAAAAAAAAAUUAAGAUAUUAAUGGAUGGACAAUGGCAAGAGUCAGAAGUAGCUGGUAAGUAAACAUGGAAUAUUCAUUGGGAAUCCGAUUGAUUUUUUUCAUCAUCCCUGCCAUCAUAUCAUCAUCACAUCGUAAUAUAUAUAUAUAUAUAAUAUUUCUAUGCGUACACAUAAAUUGGACAAAAAAAUUAUUACGAUCCAAUUACCCUUUCCAAUUUACAUGUGCAUAGAGUUAUUUAUUCAUAUAUAUAUAACCAAAAUAAAAUAAAAAUAAAAAUAGACCAUAUAAAAUGGCUAUAUCUACCUUGUCACCAAAAAAUCCUAGGAAGAAUAAUUCAGAGCUAAAGGUAGACGCACAUAUAUACAUACACACAAAACAGAAGAAUGAAUAUACAUAUAUAUGUACAUAAAUUAUCAAUUUUGCCUAAAGAUAGAUCCCUUCAUCCACUCAUAUAUUUGGACCAAGGAAUUGCAAUAUUAGGCUGACUGGCAGAAUACCAACCCAACCAAAUUAUAUACAAGAUAUAACAUAAACGAUAAAGGAAUAAUAAAUAGAUCAGAACAAGUAUGAAUCAUCGCCUCUGCCUUCGACUUUCUCAGAUUUACACGACACCAUAAGGGCACUAUAUAGACAGAAAAAGAGGAGGGUGGGUUACCACUUCCGACAAACCCUAGCCAUUAUUGUUAUGACGACACAUCCAAGUUAACAUUAUGUAUUCCAAUCUAAACAAAUCUAGUAUAUGAUAAUAUAGGCCAAUAAAAUAUUAUUUAAACAAAAUAAAUCACAACAAAGCCAUUACAGGAGUGGGAAUGGGAGGCCUCAGAGAUCUUGGUAGAUAAAAUUCAUCAAAUGGGAUAUCAAAACCCCAUCAAGAGUAGCAAAUAUCUUUCUUACAUCACAGGCCAUAUACAUAAAAAACUUGCCUUUAUUUGUAAAAAUGAUGUUAAAAGGUGGGGAAAAGAAAAGAAAAAAAUUAAGAUAUUAAUGGAUGGACAAUGGCAAGAGUCAGAAGUAGCUGGUAAGUGAACAUGGAAUAUUCAUUGGGAAUCCGAUUGAUUUUUUUCAUCAUCCCUGCCAUCAUAUCAUCAUCACAUCGUAAUAUAUAUAUAAUAUUUCUAUGCGUACACGUAAAUUGGACAAAAUAAAUAAAAAGAAUUUAUUACGAUCCAAUUACCCUUUCCAAUUUACAUGUGCAUAGAGUUAUUUAUUCAUAUAUAUAUAUAUAACCAAAAUAAAAUAAAAAAUAAAAAAAGAUCAUAUAAAAUGGCGAUUUCUACCUUGUCACCAAAAAAUCCUAGGAAGAAUAAUUCGGAGCUAAAAAUAGACGCACAUAUAUACAUACACACAAAACAGAAGAAUGAAUAUAAAUAUAUAUGUACAUAAAUUAUUAAUUUUGCCUAACGAUGGAUCCCUUCAUCCACUCAUAUAUUUGGAACAAGGAAUUGCAAUAUUUGGCUAACUGGUCGAAUACCAACCCAACCAAAUUAAACACAAGAUAUAACAUAAACGAGAAAAGAAUAACUAAUAGAUCAGUACAAGUAUGAAUCUUCGCCUCAGCCUACGACUUUCUCAAAUUUACACGACAACAUGAGGGCAUUAUAUAGACAGAAAAAGAAGGGGGUGGGUUACAACUUCCCACAAAUCCUAGCCAUUACUGUUAUAAAGACACAUACAAGUUAACAUUAUAUAUUCCAAUCUAAACAAAUCUAGUAUAUGAUAAUAUAGGCCAAUAAAAUGUUAUUUAAACAAAAUAAAUCAAAACAAAGCUAUUACAAGAGUGGGAAUGGGAAGCCUCAGAAAUCUUGGUGGAUAAAAUUCAUCAAUUGGGAUAUCAAAACCCCAUCAAGAGUAGCAAAUAUCUUUCUUACAUUACAGGUCAUAUACAUAAAAAACAUGAGGCCUUUAGUUGUAAAAAUAAUGUUAAAAGGUGGAAAAUAUAAAGAAAAAAAUUAAGAUAUUAAUGGAUGGACAAUGGCAAGAGUCAGAAGUAGCUGGUAAGUAAACAUGGAAUAUUCAUUGGGAAUCCGAUUGAUUUUUUUCAUCAUCCCUGCCAUCAUAUCAUCAUCACAUCGUAAUAUAUAUAUAUUAUUUCUAUGCGUACACGUAAAUUGGACAAAAAAAUUACUACGAUCCAAUUACCCUUUCCAAUUUACAUGUGCAUAGAGUUAUUUAUUCAUAUAUAUAUAUAUAUAUAUAUAUAACCAAAAUAAAAUAUAAAAUAAAAAUAGACCAUAUAAAAUGGCUAUAUCUACCUUGUCACCAAAAAAUCCUAGGAAGAAUAAUUCAGAGCUAAAGGUAGACGCACAUAUAUACAUACAGACAAAACAGAAGAAUGAAUAUACAUAUAUAUGUACAUAAAUUAUCAAUUUUGCCUAACGAUAGAUCCCUUCAUCCACUCAUAUAUUUGGACCAAGGAAUUGCAAUAUUAGGCUAACUGGCAGAAUACCAACCCAACCAAAUUAUAUAGAAGAUAUAACAUAAACGAGAAAGGAAUAAUAAAUAGAUCAGAACAAGUAUGAAUUGUCGCCUCUGCCUUCGACUUUCUCAGAUUUACACGACACCAUAAGGGCAUUAUAUAGACAGAAAAAGAGGAGGGUGGGUUACCACUUCCCACAAACCCUAGCCAUUACUGUUAUGACAACACAUCCAAGUUAACAUUAUGUAUUCCAAUCUAAACAAAUCUAGUAUAUGAUAAUAUAGGCCAAUAAAAUAUUAUUUAAACAAAAUAAAUCACAACAGAUCCAGUACAGGAGUGGGAAUGGGAGGCCUCAGAGAUCUUGGUGGAUAAAAUUCAUCAAGUGGGAUAUCAAAACCCCAUCAAGAGUAGCAAAUAUCUUUCUUACAUCACAGGCCAUAUACAUAAAAAACUUAAAGCCUUUAAUUGUAAAAAUGAUGUUAAAAGGUGGGGAAAAGAAAAGAAAAAAAUUAAGAUAUUAAUGGAUGGACAAUGGCAAGAGUCAGAAGUAGCUGGUAAGUAAACAUGGAAUAUUCAUUGGGAAUCCGAUUGAUUUUUUUCAUCAUCCCUGCCAUCAUAUAAUCAUCACAUCGUAAUAUAUAUAUAAUAUUUCUAUGCGUACACGUAAAUUGGACAAAAAAAUUAUUACGAUCCAAUUACCCUUUCCAAUUUACAUGUGCAUAGAGUUAUUUAUUCAUAUAUAUAUAACCAAAAUAAAAUAAAAAUAAAAAUAGACCAUAUAAAAUGGCUAUAUCUACCUUGUCACCAAAAAAUCCUAGGAAGAAUAAUUCAGAGCUAAAGGUAGACGCACAUAUAUACAUACACACAAAACAGAAGAAGGAAUAUACAUAUAUAUGUACAUAAAUUAUCAAUUUUGCCUAACGAUAGAUCCCUUCAUCCACUCAUAUAUUUGGACCAAGGAAUUGCAAUAUUAGGCUAACUGGCAGAAUACCAACCCAACCAAAUUAUAUACAAGAUAUAACAUAAACGAGAAAGGAAUAAUAAAUAGAUCAGAACAAGUAUGAAUCGUCGCUUCUGCCUUCGACUUUCUCAGAUUUACACGACACCAUUAGGGCAUUAUAUAGACAGAAAAAGAGGAGGGUGGGUUACCACUUCCCACAAUCCCUAGCCAUUAUUGUUAUGACGACACAUCCAAGUUAACAUUAUGUAUUCCAAUCUAAACAAAUCUAGUAUAUGAUAAUAUAGGCCAAUAAAAUAUUAUUUAAACAAAAUAAAUCACAACAAAGCCAUUACUGGAGUGGGAAUGGGAGGCCUCGGAGAUCUUGGUGGAUAAAAUUCAUCAAGUGGGAUAUCAAAACCCCAUCAAGAGUAGCAAAUAUCUUUCUUACAUCACAGGCCAUGUACAAAAAAAAAAACUUAAAGCCUUUACUUGUAAAAAUGAUGUUAAAAGGUGGGAAAAAAAGAAAAAAUUUAAGAAAUUAAUGGAUGGACAAUGGCAAGAGUCAGAAGUAGCUGGUAAGUAAACAUGGAAUAUUCAUUGGGAAUCCGAUUGAUUUUUUUCAUCAUCCCUGCCAUCAUAUCAUCAUCACAUCGUAAUAUAUAUAUAUAUAUAAUAUUUCUAUGCGUACACAUAAAUUGGACAAAAAAAUUAUUACGAUCCAAUUACCCUUUCCAAUUUACAUGUGCAUAGAGUUAUUUAUUCAUAUAUAUAUAUAUAUAUAUAUAUAUAUAACCAAAAUAAAAUAAAAAAUAAAAAUAGACCAUAUAAAAUGGCUAUAUCUACCUUGUCACCAAAAAAUCCUAGGAAGAAUAAUUUAGAGCUAAAGGUAGACGCACAUAUAUACAUACACACAAAACAGAAGAAGGAAUAUACAUAUAUAUGUACAUAAAUUAUCAAUUUUGCCUAACGAUAGAUCCCUUCAUCCACUCAUAUAUUUGGACCAAGGGAUUGCAAUAUUAGGCUGACUGGCAGAACACCAACCCAACCAAAUUAUAUACAAGAUAUAACAUAAACGAUAAAGGAAUAAUAAAUAGAUCAGAACAAGUAUGAAUCGUCGCCUCUGCCUUCGACUUUCUCAGAUUUACACGACACCAUAAGGGCAUUAUAUAGACAGAAAAAGAGGAGGGUGGGUUACCACUUCCCACAAACCCUAGCCAUUACUGUUAUGACGACACAUCCAAGUUAACAUUAUGUAUUCCAAUCUAAACAAAUCUAGUAUAUGAUAAUAUAGGCCAAUAAAAUGUUAUUUAAACAAAAUAAAUCACAACAAAGCCAUUACGAGUGGGAAUAUGAGGCCUCAGAGAUCUUGCUGGAUAAAAUUCAUCAAGUGGGAUGUCAAAACCCCAUCAAGAGUAGCAAAUAUCUUUCUUACAUCACAGGUCUUAUUUGUAAAAAACUUAAAGCCUUUAUUUGUAUCUCACCAUCUGUCUGUGUAUUGCUGUUGCCUGUUGGAAUGAUAACAGAAGGGGAAUAUUCCCUUUUGACUGAUAAAAGAAGGGGAGUAUAUAUAUAAAUGAUCUGUAAAAACUAGAAAGACUUGAAUUAGAAUAUGCCAAAAGCAUAUUCCCUGUUGAAUAUAAUAAUAUAAUAAAAGAAGGAACGUAUGUAUCUAGAUGUUCAAAUUUUUGUACAGGUUUAGUUUUUUUUAGAUAAAUUGAUUAAUUUUACAUAUUUACUAAAUUAAAUAUU